GCCUGCGUAGCUCAGUUGGCAGAGCACGUCCUUGGUAAGGACGAGGUCAUCGGUUCAAUUCCGGUCGUAGGCUCAA
rnacentral:tRNA from 2 species